CAGUCAUCAGGUCUUCAGAGAGCACCCAGUGCCACCUCACUGAGAAGGACCUUAUUAUGAACUCCUAACCGACUACACUGCCAUCAGAAUUAGGGAGAGGUUCUUCUGGAUUCACGCAAGCUGCACAAAAUAGUUCCAGAUCGCCAUUGUCAAGACCAUGGAUGACCAUCCCCAUGAUGACCAUUGUGUCUGCAAAUGGCCUUGUUGGCAUACAGCCCAUGAAGAAACAUUUAUUCCAGAAAAUAUACUGACAGACGGAAAAGCUAGAAUUUUGAGCUAAGGAAUGUCAGUACCUGUUAUGUUAUGGUUACCAUGCAGAAGCAUUCAGAAGAACAAAAAUGGUUUUCUAGAAAUGCAGGUCGGCUGAUGGAGAGAAUUUCACCCCAGGAUUGAAG